rnacentral:rRNA from 1 species
GGAGGAAUAUUGGUCAAUGGGCGCAAGCCUGAACCAGCCAUCCCGCGUGAAGGAUGAAGGUCCUAUGGAUUGUAAACUUCUUUUGUGCACCAAGAAUGGGCCUUACGAGUAAGGUUUUGACGGUAGUGCACGAAUAAGCAUCGGCUAACUCCGUGCCAGCAGCCGCGGUAAUACGGAGGAUGCAAGCGUUAUCCGGAUUCAUUGGGUUUAAAGGGUACGUAGGCGGCCUGUUAAGUCAGUGGUGAAAGUU